rnacentral:tRNA from 1 species
AGAGUACAGCUCGGUGGUAGAGCGUGUGCUUAGUAUGCACAAGGUCCUGGGUUCAAUUCCUAGUAUCUCUA